rfam:Parcubacteria (Azambacteria) bacterium GW2011_GWB1_42_17 TV07_C0002, whole genome shotgun sequence.
GGGGAUGACGGGCUUCGAUAGAAUUUGAAAAUUAAAUAUGCAGGCCGAGGAUGUCUUGUAACCUUGAAAUUCCGUCCCGCUCAGCGGGAUGCGACAAUCCACGAGACAAAGCAGAAAAUAACUGCCAAAACAAAUUUAACUCCUGCUUUCGCUUUUGCUUAAGCAGCACCGGACGUUUGAUGCCUAAUAAAACGAAACUGGUGUCAACCAUUGGGCUUUAAUCCGGAAAUUCUUCGAUUCGGAUAGAACUAAAAGAAGAAAUUGAGAAUCCCCCGUUUUGGCCGCUUCAAGGAGGGUUUUCAAAAAUUCAAACGGCCUAACGCCUGUAGAAAUAUUUAAUUGCUAAAUUCUAGAUGCGAGUUCAACUCUCGCCAUCUCCAUCA